UGGGGAAUUUUGGACAAUGGGGGAAACCCUGAUCCAGCCAUCCCGCGUGUGCGAUGAAGGCCUUCGGGUUGUAAAGCACUUUUGGCAGGAAAGAAACGUCAUGGGUUAAUACCCCGUGAAACUGACGGUACCUGCAGAAUAAGCACCGGCUAACUACGUGCCAGCAGCCGCGGUAAUACGUAGGGUGCAAGCGUUAAUCGUAAUUACUGGGCGUAAAGCGUGCGCAGGCGGUUCGGAAAGAAAGAUGUGAAAUCCCAGAGCUCAACUUUGGAACUGCAUUUUUAACUACCGGGCUAGAGUGUGUCAGAGGGAGGUGGAAUUCCGCGUGUAGCAGUGAAAUGCGUAGGUAUGCGGAGGAACGCCGAUGGCGAAGGCAGCCUCCUGGGAUAACACUGACGCUCAUGCACGAAAGCGUGGGGAGCAAACAGG
rnacentral:rRNA from 1 species